rnacentral:rRNA from 1 species
CCCGAACGGUGGAUCACUCGGAUCGCGGAU